rnacentral:rRNA from 1 species
GGAAGUAAAAGUCGUAACAAGGUUUCCGUAGGUGAACCUGCGGAAGGAUCAUUAACGAUUGCUACACAUGCAAAGACAAAACGUAUGGAUUGUAGAUUCUGACUGGAUUGAACGCUAAAAACUCCUGACGAGUUCAGAAAGGAUAAUGCUUCUCUCUCUCGUGCGAACGAAGAGAGGGCCAUCGUGGUCGUUGGGCGUCAGCGCUACGAACGAUGUAAAACAAACAACCGAUGGCCUCUCAUACAUUAUAUUUUCUCGCCAUGGUAUACAAGCCUGGCAUCUGGUACGAGUCUCUCGCAGUCUCAAAACCAACCUUACAACUCUGAGCGGUGGAUCACUUGGCUUGUGGAUGCUAUGAAGACCAUAGCUAAGUGUGAGAAUGGCAGCGAGCCGUCGCUAUAUGCGCUGUCCUCUUCUUAUCACAUGUCGAAUGCAUAUUGCGCCCCACCCAGUGGUCGGCUAAACAACCUGCAGACAAAAGCCUGGGAGUUGGAACAAAGGCGAGUGUGUGGCCCUCGAGCAACGGCGGGGGAGCCAGGAGCACAUGAGCGUGCGGACCAACUACUCGUGAGUAGUCAGGCUGAACCCUAUGGUGGGGCACUCCUAGUCGAGUGUGGUGGAUCGGACUCAUAUCUCUGUGUGUUGACGGAGUUUGAGUUACUUUGUUGCUGGUGGCUAUUUGGGUCGACAUCAGUCGUGCCCGUAAACAACUGCCUUGGCUCGUGCCUCUGUGCGUAUUACCUCUCGCAGGUGCGUACAUUGAAGGCCAAGCUGGCGAUCACUCUUGCGACCAGGGCACUACGGUUUUUUGCAUGGUUAAUUGCACCGUACAUUUUCUUGCCAUCGUAUUAAUGGCACGUACAUUUGCCUGGUUAAUGGCACCGUACACUUGUACACCGUAGUGCGCACAGGUCCAAAAGGAAAUGCUAAUACGAGAGUCGGGUUUCUGGUACUCUAGCCCGCUUCCUCACGGUUAGCGGUGUGGUGAUAUGAUAUCCCUGCGAAUACGCUUAUCUGGUAAAGGCUCGUCUAUCUCGAUGUAUUUGGGAAUGACAUAUGCCUCACCUCUUUCGUUCACACACAGGCUGGCAGACGAAUAAACGCCUGACGAGAUCAGGACGGAUUUUCUAACAGUGUGAAGGAAGUAACAGAUCGGCCUGCAGUAUCGCUCCACAUCGUGCUCGACCCGUGGGAAACGGUGUAGGAGAGAGAUCUGACUGCCACCACCUCGACUUAGGAGAGGUUACCCGCUGAACUUAAGCAUAUCAGUAAGCGGAGGAAAAGAAACCAAUCAGGGAUUCCCUUAGUAGGGGCGACCGAACAGGGAUGAGCCCAGCGCAGAACCUCCCGGGCCACCCGGCCUGCGGCGGAAUGUUGCGUUAAGGGAAAGGUCGUAGUCAAACCCCACAGCCACGCGAGCUCUAAGUAAGUCACGAAUUGGCUAUCCCAACUAACGGCGGGAAAAUCUCCACGGAGGGUGUAAGACCCGUGUGGGCGCGUGUAAAUGCUGUGUGGGCUCGGCCUCUUUUCCCUGAGAGUCGCGUUGCUUGAGCAUGCAGCGCUAAGCAGGUCGUAAACUCGAUCUAAGGCUAAAUAUUUCCACAAGACCGAUAGCGAACAAGUACCGUGAGGGAAAGUUGAAAAGCACUCUGAAGAGAGAGUCAAAAGACC